rnacentral:rRNA from 1 species
GUGCACCAGUCGAGAAUCUUCCACAAUGGACAAAAGUCUGAUGGAGCGACGCCGCGUGCGGGAUGAAGGCCUUUAUGGGUUGUAAACCGCUGUCAGGGGGGAAGAACAUCGGAAUGAACAAUACUCAUUCCGACUGACGGUUACCCCCAGAGGAAGCUCCGGCCAACUCCGUGCCAGCAGCCGCGGUAAUACGGGGGGAGCAAGCGUUGUCCGGAAUUAUUGGGGCGUAAAGGGCGUGUAGGCGGCGAGGUAAGUCGAAUGGUGAAAUCUCACGGCUCAACCGUGAAACUGCGUUCGAAACUACCCUGCUUGAGUACGGGAGAGGUGACGGAAUUCCUGGUGUAGCGGUGGAAU